rfam:Flavobacteriaceae bacterium TMED81 3783, whole genome shotgun sequence.
AAAGCAGGCCACCUUACCGCUGCACGCAAGUGCAGAGGAAAGUCCGGACACCAUAGCGCAGUAUAGCGGGUAACGCCCGUCGUCCGCCUAGCGGAUAGGACCAGUGCAACAGAAAGAAUGUACAGUUCGGCUGUAGUGAAAUCAGGUAAACUCUAUACGGUGAAACGCCAAGUAAACCAGUGUUUGAAAGAAGCGCUCUUGAGCUGGUGGGUAGGCGGAUAGAGCCCCGCAGUAAUGUUGGGUCGAGAUCAAUGGUAAGGCACGACAGAAUCCGGCUUAUGGCCUGCUUUUUUU